rnacentral:rRNA from 1 species
CCCUUAGAUGUUCUGGGCCGCACGCGCGCUACACUGAUGAAUUCAACGAGCACUAACCUGUGCAGAAAUGUUCGGGUAAUCUUGUGAAAUUUCAUCGUGAUGGGGAUUGAUUAUUGCAAUUAUUAAUCAUAAACGAGGAAUGCCUAGUAAGCGUGAGUCAUCAGCUCACGUUGAUUACGUCCCUGCCCUUUGUACACACCGCCCGUCGCUCCUACCGAUUGAAUGUGCUGGUGAAAAGUUCGGAUUGGGAAUAGGAGACGGCAACGUAUCCUGUUUCUGAGAAAAUCUUUAAACCCUCCCAUUUAGAGGAAGGAGAANUCGUANCA